UACGUAGGGGACGAGCGUUGUCCGGAAUUAUUGGGCGGAAAGAGCGUGUAGGCGGCUCUGCAAGUCCUGCGUGAAAUCUCGAGGCUCAACCUCGAGCGGUCGUGGGAAACUGGAGGGCUAGAGUGCGGGAGAGGGAAGUGGAAUUCCAGGUGUAGCGGUGAAAUGCGCAGAUAUCUGGAAGAACACCCGUGGCGAAGGCGGCUUCCUGGAACGACACUGACGCUGAGACGCGAAAGCGUGGGGAGCAAACAGG
rnacentral:rRNA from 1 species